AAAGGCCUUCAAUAAUAUUUAACAGGUGUCACCCCUAUUUGAUGGAGUCUGGUUGCUGCUCUCUAGAGCUGAGUACAUGGCACAUGAAGCGGAAGACAUUGUCUGCACUUAGGCUGUGAUCAAGCCACAGGAAUUUCUGAAACCAAUGAGGCUAAAAUUUCCACUGAUGGAUUCCAAAUGUUCAGAGAGCUGCACUGUCGAUUGUGGCACAAAUUUGAGAGAGUCAAGUAGUGCAUGGAGGAAAUGGCUGUGGAAGAAACUCUAGUUGAGAAGGAAAAUUGUUCAAGGUAAAAGUGGAAAGGACAAUGAGUGAUGGGAAGCUAUCAAGAAACCAGCAGUGAAGAUGAACAUCUGGUAGGGCAAUCUAAUUUUUUAUGUGAACCUAACACAAAGAUGGAAAUAGAAAAAGUAGGAUUCUAGAGUGUAAUUGGAU